GGAUAUUGCUGCUCAACAACGCGCUCUUUUUAAUUUGGAUCCAAUUAUUAAAAAAUUAAAUUCUUACACUGAAAUGAAAUAUAUUGGGCCUAAGGAUUCUACAAUUGGCGAAAAAAGAAAUAAUUUUUUUAAAGACUGUCAAGCUGGGAACGUUUCAUUGGUAUUUACAGGUCAAGGGAUAACAAUAACGUUUCUGGAAGAUCAAAAAAAUACAAAUCCUUACUUUAUAAAAUUUGCUCAUUUUGAUCAGCUAACAAACAAA